rnacentral:rRNA from 1 species
ACAAGUUGACAAGAGCAUCGGGUGGAUGCCUUGGCGUCGGAAGGCGAUGAAAGACGUGGUAAGCUGCGAAAAGCCUCGGGGAGAAGCUAAACAUUCUGUGAUCCGGGGAUUUCUGAAUGGGGAAACCCGGCGGAGGUCAUGCUCCGUCGCGGGCACUUGAAUACAUAAAGUGUCCAGCGCCAACUCAGGGAAGUGAAACAUCUCAGUACCUGAAGGAAAAGAAAUCAAACGAGACUCCCAAAGUAGCGGCGAGCGAAAUGGGAUGAGCCCAAACCGGCUGGAUUCGUUCAGCCGGGGUUGUAGGGCCGGCAUAUGUGAUUCACGAGUAGGCAGGGGAAAUGAGCUGGAAAGCUCUGCCAGAGCGGGUGACAGCCCCGUACCUGAAACCGAAAGCGACACAGCCGGUACCUGAGUACCGCGAGACACGUGGAACCUCGUGGGAAUCCGGGAGGACCAUCUUCCAAGGCUAAGUACUAACCGACGACCGAUAGUGUACCAGUACCGUGAGGGAAAGGUGAAAAGAACCUCUGUUAGAGGAGUGAAAUAGAAUCUGAAACCUGGUGCUUACAAGCUGUGAGAGCGGACUUGUUCCGUGAUCACGUGCCUUUUGCAUAAUGAGUCAGCGAGUUAAUCUGUACUGCAAGGUUAAGCGCAAGUGGAGCCGUAGGGAAACCGAGUCUGACAAGGGCGAUGAGUAGUGCGGAUUAGACCCGAAACCGGGUGAUCUAUCCAUGAGCAGGUUGAAGCAAGGGUAAAACCUUGUGGAGGACCGAACCAAUACCGGCUGAAAACGGUUUGGAUGACUUGUGGAUAGGGGUGAAAGGCCAAUCAAACCCGGUGAUAGCUGGUUCUCCCCGAAAUAUAUUGAGGUAUAGCCUCAUGGAUUGUCUACCGGAGGUAAAGCACUGACAGGGCUAGGGGUCCUACCAGAUUACCAAACCCUAUCAAACUCAGAAUGCCGGUCAGAUGUACCAUGGGAGUCAGACGGCGGGUGCUAAGGUCCGUCGUCGAGAGGGUAAGAGCCCAGAUCAACAGCUAAGGUCUCCAAAUCUAUGCUCAGUGGUUAAGGUGGUGACGUUGUAGAGACACCCAGGACGUUGGCUUAGAAGCAGCCAUCGUUUAAAGAAAGCGUAAUAGCUCACUGGUCUAAUGACGUUGCGCCGAAAAUGUAACGGGGCUAAGCAUAGUACCGAAGCUUUGAAUUCCGCAUAUGCGGUCUGGUAGGGGAGCGUUCUUCACGGGCUGAAGGUGUGUCGUAAGGCAUGCUGGACUGUGGAGAAGUGAUUAUGCUGACAUGAGUAACGAUAAAACGGGUGAAAAACCCGUUCGCCGUAAACCCAAGGUUUUCCGGGUAAAGGUAAUCUUCCCGGAGUUAGUCGGCCCCUAAGGCGAGGCUGAAAGGCGUAGCUGAUGGGAAACGUGUUAAUAUUCACGUACUUGUGUGUUCGCGCGAUGAAGGGACGCAGGAAGAUAGGCAAGCCGGGCGCUGGUUGUCCCGGUGCAAGCGUGUAGGGAUGAGAAAUUGGCAAAUCCGUUUCUCUCUAUCCUGAGACGCGAGUCCGUGACCGAAAGGUCUGAAGUUGUUGAGUCUAUGCUGCCUAGAAAAGCUUCUAAGUAUAGGACACGCAAACCGUACCGGAAACCAACUCAGGUGGGUGGGAUGAAUAAUCCAAGGCGCUCGAGAGAACUCUGGCCAAGGAACUCGGCAAAAUAACCCCGUACCUUCGGAAGAAGGGGUGCUUUUUAGGGUGAAGCGAUUCACUCUGUCGAGCCCUGAAAAGCCGCAGAGAAAUGGUGGUGGCGACUGUUUACUAAAAACAUAGGUCUGUGCCAAGUCGUAUAGACGACGUAUACGGACUGACGCCUGCCCGGUGCUGGAAGGUUAAAAGGAGGAGUCAGCGCAAGCGAAGCUCCGAAUUGAAGCCCCAGUAAACGGCGGCCGUAACUAUAACGGUCCUAAGGUAGCGAAAUUCCUUGUCGGGUA